rnacentral:rRNA from 1 species
GGGGAACUCUGAUGCAGCGACGCCGCGUGAGCGAUGAAGCCCUUCGGGGUGUAAAGCUCUUUCGACGGGAACGAUAAUGACGGUACCCGAAGAAGAAGCUGCGGCUAACUACGUGCCAGCAGCCGCGGUAAUACGUAGGCAGCAAGCGUUGUUCGGAAUUACUGGGCGUAAAGAGUGUGUAGGCUGUGCUCUAAGUUUGUUGUGAAAUCUCCCGGCUUAACUGGGAGGGUGCGGCGAAUACUGGAGUGCUAGAGUGUGGGAGAGGUAAGCGGAAUUCCUGGUGUAGCGGUGAAAUGCGUAGAUAUCAGGAGGAACACCUGUGGUGUAGACAGCUUACUGGACCACGACUGACGCUGAGACACGAAAGCGUGGGUAGCAAACAGGAUUAGAUACCCUGGUAGUCCACGCCCUAAACGAUGCAUACUUGGUGUGAGCCAUUCAUUUGGUUCGUGCCGGAGCUAACGCGUUAAGUAUGCCGCCUGGGGAGUACGGUCGCAAGGCUGAAACUCAAAAGAAUUGACGGA